rnacentral:rRNA from 1 species
AGUGAACGCUGGCGGUAGGCCUAACACAUGCAAGUCGAACGGCAGCACAGUAAGAGCUUGCUCUUACGGGUGGCGAGUGGCGGACGGGUGAGGAAUACAUCGGAAUCUACUUUUUCGGGGGGGAUAACGUAGGGAAACUUACGCUAAUACCGCAUACGACCUACGGGUGAAAGCAGGGGAUCUUCGGACCUUGCGCGAUUGAAUGAGCCGAUGUCGGAUUAGCUAGUUGGCGGGGUAAAGGCCCACCAAGGCGACGAUCCGUAGCUGGUCUGAGCGGAUGUUCAGCCACCCUGGAACUGAGACACGGUCCUGACUCCUACGGGAGGCCGCAGUGUGGAAUAUUGGACAAUGGGCGCAAGCCUUAUCCAGCCAUACCGCGUGGGUGAAGAAGGCCUUCGGGUUGUAAAGCCCUUUUGUUGGUAAAGAAAAGCAUCAGGUUAAUACCCCGCUGUUCUGACGGUACCCAAAGAAUAAGCACCGGCUAACUUCGUG